UGAAUACGAGACGCUAAGGCGUCGAAGUAGUGUAUGUCAUACUUCCAAGAAAAGCUUGCACUGUCAUAGAUAAAAAACGCCUGUACCAUAACCGACACAGGUGGGUAGGUAGAGUAUACUAAGGGGCGCGAGAUAACUCUCUCUAAGGAACUCGGCAAAAUAACUCCGUAACUUCGGGAGAAGGAGUGCCUUAUUAUUAAGGCUGCAAUAACAAGAUCCAAGCAACUGUUUAUCAAAAACACAGGUCUCCGCUAAGUCGUAAGACGAUGUAUGGGGGCUGACGCCUGCCCAGUGCCAGAAGGUUAAAGAAGUUGGUUAGCAUUUGCGAAGCUGAUAACUGAAGCCCUGGUGAACGGCGGCCGUAACGAUAACGGUCCUAAGGUAGCGAAAUUCCUUGUCGGGUAAGUUCCGACCCGCACGAAAGGCGUAAUGAUUUGGAUACUGUCUCGGAGAGGGGCUCGGUGAAAUAGACUUGUCUGUGAAGAUGCGGACUACCUGCACCAGGACAGAAAGACCCUAUGAAGCUUUACUGUAACUUGAAAUUGAAAUUGGACUUUAUUCGCGCAGCAUAGGUGGGAGGCGUUGAUUAUAAUCUUGUGGGAUUAUUGGAGCCAUCAGUGAGAUACCACUCUUGUAAUGUUAGAUUUCUAACUUUGAAUCAUUAUCUGGUCAAAGAACAGUUUCAGGCGGGCAGUUUGACUGGGGCGGUCGCCUCCUAAACGGUAACGGAGGCGUACAAAGGUUUCCUCUGAACGGUUAGAAAUCGUAUCUAGAGUGUAAAGGCAUAAGGAAGCUUGACUGUGAGACCUACAAGUCGAGCAGGGACGAAAGUCGGUCUUAGUGAUCUGACGGUACUGAGUGGAAAGGCCGUCACUCAACGGAUAAAAGUUACUCUAGGAUAACAGGCUGAUCUCCCCCAAGAGUUCACAUCGACGGGGAGGUUUGGCACCUCGAUGUCGGCUCAUCGCAUCCUGGGGCGGUAGUACGUCCCAAGAGUUGGGCUGUUCGCCCAUGAAAGCGGUACGCGAGCUGGGUUCAGAGCGUCGUGAGACAGUUCGGUCCAUAUCCGGUGUAGGCGUUAGAAUAUUGAGAGGAGCCUUCUUUAGUACGAGAGGACCGAGAAGGACAUACCUCUGGUGUACCAGUUAUCGUGCCAACGGUAAACGCUGGGUAGCUAUGUAUGGAGUGGAUAACCGCUGAAAGCAUCUAAGUGGGAAGCCCACCUCAAGAUAAGUA
rnacentral:rRNA from 1 species